rnacentral:rRNA from 1 species
AUUGAACGCUAGCGGCAUGCCUUACACAUGCAAGUCGAACGGCAGCACGGGUGCUUGCACCUGGUGGCGAGUGGCGAACGGGUGAGUAAUACAUCGGAACGUACCUUAUCGUGGGGGAUAACGCAGCGAAAGCUGUGCUAAUACCGCAUACGCCCUGAGGGGGAAAGCGGGGGAUCGAAAGACCUCGCGCGAUUAGAGCGGCCGAUGCCUGAUUAGCUUGUUGGUGGGGUAAAAGCCCACCAAGGCGACGAUCAGUAGCUGGUCUGAGAGGACAAUCAGCCACACUGGGACUGAGACACGGCCCAGACUCCUACGGGAGGCAGCAGUGGGGAAUUUUGGACAAUGGGGGCAACCCUGAUCCAGCAAUGCCGCGUGAGUGAAGAAGGCCUUCGGGUUGUAAAGCUCUUUUGUCAGGGAAGAAACACCGGCUCUAACACAGUCCGGGAAUGACGGUACCUGAAGAAUAAGCACCGGCUAACUACGUGCCAGCAGCCGCAGUAA